rnacentral:rRNA from 1 species
GAUGAACGCUAGCGGCAGGCCUAAUACAUGCAAGUCGGACGGGAUUGGAGAGCUUGCUUUCCAUGAGAGUGGCGCACGGGUGCGUAACACGUAUGUAACCUACCCUUGUCAGGGGGAUAGCCUCUCGAAAGAGAGAUUAAGACCGCAUAACAUUAUUUUAUGGCAUCAUAGGAUAAUCAAAUAUUUAUAGGACAAGGAUGGGCAUGCGGAACAUUAGCUAGUUGGUGAGGUAACUGCUCACCAAGGCUACGAUGUUUAGGGGAUCUGAGAGGAUCGACCCCCCACACUGGUACUGAGACACGGACCAGACUCCUACGGGAGGCAGCAGU